CACUCUCUGACUCUUUGGAAUGGUCUUGGAUUGAUUAUUGAUUUGGCAGAAGAUAGAUAUAAAUGAACAAAUCUUUGUUAUCUAUUGUGAAGAAGGCUUUAUGUUCCUAAUUUGAUAACUGUUUAAGUGAAUCCUUGUAAUAGGUGUAGAUAUUUUAUCAUCUGGAAAAUAAAUAGCUGGAGAAUUGAACUAAGUGUGGAGAUCUGGGUUCUAGUUCUAUUUUAUCAUUAGCAAACUUUGUAGUCUAAGUCUCAUUUUCCUCCUCUAAAAUGGGAAUAAAUUAUAAUCUUCUUGGCCAACUCUCUGGGCAGUUAUGAGGGCCAAACAAAUAGUUUUGAAAACAAAAAAUGCAAACUACUUUACAAAAUAUGAAUUUGUUAUUGAAACAUCUAGAAUUACUGUUUUUCAACAAUCAGGGCAUUAUGUUACACCAACUUUUGUUACACUGCUAAAUAGAGACAAAAAAAAAAAGAUAUAGCUAAGUGUUUACAACUUAGUGAAAUCCAGUUUGCCAUCAGGAUCAUGAAAACUAAUACUCCUUUGGUAUUGAAUGUGAGACGAGACCUCUAAACUCUAUUUCUGAUCAGUAUUCUCUUCUCAGAUGGUUGACUGGAAUGGAUGUUGAAACAAUGGAUGUCUAGCAUCCAUUGUUUAGUUAACUGAAUUUCCGCCACUUUCAGCCUCCCUACUGUUUCCCCCCUGCUUUCUUCAGUCCUUCUCUUCAGUAGAAGGCCACAGAGGUAUAGCUACUUAUUUCAGAAGAAAUGCAGUAUUUUGAAUAUAUUAUAUCCAAAGUGAUGCAGAUACCAAAUCCAGCAGGAAAUAUACACGCACACACAGUGGCUUUGGCUGUAAUUCCUUAUGAAGUAUCAGAUUAUGAAUUUAUACAUUCAAUCUUCAUAUACUGAAGAAUAUUUUCCACUCAUCCAUUUCAUGAUGUUUCCCCUUUCUGCCAGAAAAUGUGCAUUUGUGUGCAUUGGUCUAUAGAGGGUAAAGAACACCCCUGUGGAUUAUUUGCCAGUCAGAAGAAAUGGGCUGUCUGUCUUGCUUUAGAUUUGAUGAGCUACCGGUUUGUGACAGUUUCAUUUUGAUUUCAUUGCUGGGCAACCAGAAUAAAUUGACAGAGAAAACAAUCAACACAUGCUGCACCCACUGGAACCUCUGAUACGAAACAUUGGCUGCUUCUGUCAACACAGCCAAUUACCAAAGGUACUCAAAGGGUAAGGGAUAGUCAAAAUAAGCCACAUGGUUCCAUGCAACUAUUAGUGAACGCAGAGUAGACACAGGAUGACAGACUGCUUCAUCAAUGUAACAUUUCUGGUGAAUGUGCUGCCUACUAUGUUCUCCAAGCUGACACCGAUGCUUGUAGCAAGGUAAGUGUUUACUCUGUGUGUGGGGGGGGGGGGCGGGGAGGGAGAGAGAGAGGUUGACUGCAUGUUGACGCCAGGGUAUAAGAAAUAGAUUAAGGUUGGGUGUUCCCGUUGUAGCGCGGCAGAAAUGAAUCCGAAUAGGAACCAUGAGGUCAUGGGUUCGAUCCAUGGCCCCGCUCAGUGGGUUAAUGAUCCGGUGUUGCUGUGAGCUGUGGUGUAGUUCGCAGACACGGCUCGGAUCCCGAGUUACUGUGGCUGUGGCAUAGGCUGGCAGCUGUAGCUGUCAUUCGACCCCUAGUCUGGGAACCUCCACAUGCCGCUAGUGCAGCCCUAAAAAGCAGGGGGCGGGGCGGGGGGGAGAAAAACAUUAGGGGAGUUCCUGCUGUGGCUCAGUAGGUUAAUGAACCCAACUAGGAUCCAUGGGGACACAGGUUUGAUCCCUGGCCUUGCUCAGUGAGUUAAGGAUCCAGUGUUGCUGUGAGCUGUGGUGGAGGUUGCAGAUGUGGCUUGCAUCUCGCAUUGCUAUUGCUGUGGCGUAAGCUGGUGGCUAUAGCUCUGAGUCGACCCCUCACCUGGGAACCUCUAUACCCUGCGGGUGCAGCUCUAAAAUGACAAAAAGACAGAAAAAAAGAAAAGACAUUAGGGAAAACAUUUUUUAAAAAAUAAUGAAAUCUACCAUGUAGAGUGGCUGUCUAUGCUAGAACAUGAGGUUUUGUUUUGUUUGUUUUGUUUUUUUUUGUAUUUUUGCCAUUUCUUGGGCCACUCCCAUGACAUAUGGAGGUUCCCAGGCUAGGGGUCGAAUUGGAGCUGUAGCCACCAGCCUAUGCCAGAGCCACAACAACACAGGAUCCAAGCUGUGUCUGCGACCUACACCAUAGCUCCCAGCAAGGCGGGGUCCUUUACCCACUGAGCAAGGCCAGGCAUCGAACCCGCAACCUCGUGGUUCCUAGUCGGAUUUGUUAACCACUGAGCCAUGAUGGGAACUCCUAGAACAUGAGUUUUAAAGAGAAAGCACAGAUUCAGACUUCUGGGAGCUAAUUGAUCAGGUCUUGCAAACAGCUAACAAUUAGUCUUUCAUUUAACACAUAUUUAUGGAGCUGUUACUAUAUGCAGGAACUUUGUAUUAAAAAAUAGAUAUAAAGUUAAAAAAAAUCAGCCCUCCCAUUUGCAACCACUUGGAUAGAUGCUGAGCAUGUGCUGACUGAAGUAAGUCAGAGAAGGAAAAGUAUGAUGUCACUUACAUGUGGAAUCUAAAAAACUUAAAUCUGUAAAAAACAAAGAGUAAAAUGUGCACACCAGGGCACGUGAGAGAGGAAUGAGAUUGAUGGUGUUUACAGGUACACACUUGUAAUGAAUAGUCAAUAAACCAUAGCUAUCAAAUGCACAGUACAAUGAGUUUAGACAAAACACUGUAUAAUAUCAUUAUGCAAGAUGAUAAAUAUCUCUACAUUGCAUCGCAAUAUAUAAAUGCAGCAAAGUAACACGCUAUAUACCUUAAACUCACACAGGAUUACAUACCAAAUUUAUUCAAUAAAAAAGAUAGACCUGAUACUUAUCCCCCUAGAAUUUAUAGCUUGGUAAGGGAGAAAGAAAGUUAAGAAAGAUUUGUCGCCCUGGUAUGUGACAACGGAGGUAUAGGAUGCUGUUAGAGGCCCUAAGUCAGAUUUUGAAAUCAGUGAGGAUUUUAGAAGAAGGCAAUAUCCAAACCAAGACCUGUGAGUUAGCCAGAGAAACUGCAAAAGCAGUAAUUACUCUUUUCAGUUACAGCAACACCAGUAACAGUGUGAUGGUGAGAAGCAUGGGCCAUUUUAACCAACGUUCAGGAUGCAUGGAGGUUCAUCAGUGUUGGGGAAGGAAGAAGAAUAGCAAAAGAUGGGACCAGAGAGGCAGGCAGGUAACACAUCCCAAAUGGUAGUGAAAUUGGAUUUUAUGCAGCGAGUAAUUACACGGAAGGAUUUUGACCUGGGAAAUGGUGUGGUCAGAUACACUAGAGUAAAUCUAAUAAUUGCUCUAAGUAGUUGUGUGUGCAUACAUACAGGCACACACACACAUAUUUAAGGGACAAUUUAAAAAUAAUUCUGGAAACACAAAGGUGGAAGAAAACACCUAUUUAGAUAAUUUGGUGAAAUGUUUAAGAUAGCAGGACUUUUAACUAGAGUCUUGAAAUCUUGUCCCUGGAUAGUGUUGCAGCUUAGGCAUCAGCAACACCCCAGUGAUGGGGAAACCUCUGCUCAGACCGCAUAUGGUUGGUGUGGGUUUACAAGGUGCCAGGGACUCUGCUAUGUCUGAGGAACUCACAAGGCAAUCAGGAAAUCACAUUUUCCCCAUCAAAGUGCUUCCUUUCACCCUGUUAAGGAAGAUGUAUCAGUAUUUUUCUGUUCUCUGUAAAAUGCAGGAAAAUUGGAUGCAAUGAAUCUGUAGAUUAUCUCCAACUUUAGAAUGUAUACCUUGGAAUGAACUUCAGGCAGUUUUCUUGGGAUUCCAACCACGUGUCCUAAUUUUGUCCUUUCCAGACAUAGUUUUUGCAGGUCUGACAUGUCUUUCCUAUGUUGGUGUGUUGUGUAUUUGAAGUGACGAAUUACCCUUCUGGGUGUUUUCUGGUCUUACAAACUAAACUGCUCCACUUCUAGCUACUCCUCAUGUGAUGUGAAGAUUUGUGAUGGUUCCAUUUCAUUUUCCACACUAGUGAAGAACUGACAAAGAAUGCCAUUAGCACAUGAUCACCUUUGUAACUUCUAAUGUGAUCUGUUGGUUGUGUCUGUUAAUCCCCCUCCCAUCCUGGCUCUUAUUCUCUAAUUACACUCUUUGCUGGAUGUAUGGUUCUAAUUCAGAAAUCUUGUUCUUUGGGAUGUCCAUUAGGAUACUAUUUCAAUAAGGAAAAUCGCUUUUUCCACCACUACAUUAAAUGGAGGGUUAUCUAUGAGCAUCGAUAUUCAGAAACGUCUUUGAUGGGUGCAGAAAAUUGGCUUAGAAAUUGAUAUUUCUUCCAUCAAUGAAAUAUUCACAGCCACUUCCAACAACAGUGAUGAUGACUUGUUGUGGAUCUGCUGAGAUGACUGAUUAGUGGACCAUUUAAAAAGUCCCCCUUGUUUUUGUAAUGCUACUUGUGUAUUAACUUUGUUUUUAUUAGUGUCGUGUCUAGAACCAGGUCCUCAGGUACUUCUCAUCUCCCUUCAUCUGAGACAUAAUAUGCAUAUUUAAGCUUAGUUGAACCAUCUGUAGCUGAUCCGUGGCUCAGCGGUGAUGCUUUUCUCUCCAUAACAUGUAAUAUAUCAUCAUAGGAAACAGGUCAAAGGGUAGAAGCAAUCUGAAAUAAGAAAACAGAUAUAGGAGUUCCCAUCGUGGCGCAGUGGUUAACGAAUCCGACUAGGAACCAUGAGGUUGUGAGUUUGAUCCCUGGCCUUGCUCAGUGGGUUAAGGAUCUGGCAUUGCCGUGGGCUGUGGUGUGGGUCACAGAUGGGGCUCGGAUAUGGCAUUGCUGUGGCUCUGGCGUAGGCCGGUGGCUACAGCUCUGAUUAGACCCCUAGCCUGGGAACUUCCAUAUGCCACAGGAGCAGCUCAAGAAA
rnacentral:lncRNA from 1 species